rnacentral:rRNA from 1 species
AGAGUUUGAUCAUGGCUCAGAUUGAACGCUGGCGGCAGGCUUAACACAUGCAAGUCGAACGGUAACAGGGAGAAGCUUGCUUCUUUGCUGACGAGUGGCGGACGGGUGAGUAAUGCUUGGGAAUCUGGCUUAUGGAGGGGGAUAACUACGGGAAACUGUAGCUAAUACCGCGUAAUAUCUUUGGAUUAAAGGGUGGGACUUUCGGGCCACCUGCCAUAAGAUGAGCCCAAGUGGGAUUAGGUAGUUGGUGGGGUAAAGGCCUACCAAGCCGACGAUCUCUAGCUGGUCUGAGAGGAUGACCAGCCACACUGGAACUGAGACACGGUCCAGACUCCUACGGGAGGCAGCAGUGGGGAAUAUUGCACAAUGGGGGGAACCCUGAUGCAGCCAUGCCGCGUGAAUGAAGAAGGCCUUCGGGUUGUAAAGUUCUUUCGGUGAUGAAGAAGGUGUUUGUUUUAAUAGAAUAAGCAAUUGACGUUAGUCACAGAAGAAGCACCGGCUAACUCCGUGCCAGCAGCCGCGGUAAUACGGAGGGUGCGAGCGUUAAUCGGAAUGACUGGGCGUAAAGGGCACGCAGGCGGUGACUUAAGUGAGAUGUGAAAGCCCCGGGCUUAACCUGGGAAUUGCAUUUCAUACUGGGUCGCUAGAGUAUUUUAGGGAGGGGUAGAAUUCCACGUGUAGCGGUGAGAUGCGUAGAGAUGUGGAGGAAUACCGAAGGCGAAGGCAGCCCCUUGGGAAUAUACUGACGCUCAUGUGCGAAAGCGUGGGGAGCAAACAGGAUUAGAUACCCUGGUAGUCCACGCUGUAAACGCUGUCGAUUUGGGGAUUGGGCUUAGAGCUUGGUGCCCGUAGCU